rnacentral:rRNA from 1 species
GACGUAGGGCGCGAGCGUUGUCCGGAUUUAUUGGGCGUAAAGAGCUCGUAGGCGGUUUGUCACUCUGCUGUGAAAAACUCGGGGGCUUAACCCCCGAGCUUCAGUGGAUACGGGGCAGACUAGAGGUAGGUAGGGGGAGAAUGGAAUUCCCGGUGUAGCGGUGAAAAUGCGCAGAUAUCGGGAGGAACACCGGUGGCGAAGGCGGUUCUCUGGGCCGAAACUGACGCUAGGAGCGAAAAGCGUGGGGGAGCAAACAGG